rnacentral:rRNA from 1 species
UACGUAGGUGGCAAGCGUUGUCCGGAAUUAUUGGGCGUAAAGCGCGCGCAGGCGGUCCUUUAAGUCUGAUGUGAAAGCCCACGGCUCAACCGUGGAGGGUCAUUGGAAACUGGGGGACUUGAGUACAGAAGAGGAAAGCGGAAUUCCACGUGUAGCGGUGAAAUGCGUAGAGAUGUGGAGGAACACCAGUGGCGAAGGCGGCUUUCUGGUCUGUAACUGACGCUGAGGCGCGAAAGCUAGGGGAGCAAACAGG